rnacentral:lncRNA from 1 species
CCUAGGAAGAGAUAAAAGGAAUACUCACUUGGAAACUAUCCCAGUGGAAAAUGUGUUGUCUGUGAACUCCUGCAGGCUCCUGGUGAUCACGGCUGUUUCGCCUACAUAUUAAUGACCAACAUGGGACCAUCACUGAGGAACAGAACUUCUUUCUAUUCUGAAAGAAUUUUACUCAAUUAAUUAGGGUAAUCCUAGUAGUUGAAGUAGAUAAAUCCCCGCAUCGCAGGGGCUCAACUCAGUAGCAGGUAUUCCUCACUCGUGUGAAGUCCGAAAGGGGGGUUCCUGAGGAGCCAGGGCUCCCAUCUCCAAGCAAUAAUUCAAGGCUCUUGGCUCCUUCCAACUUGUAGUUCUGAGAUCUUCUGACUAAUACAGCUGAUAGAAAAGAUGAUGCAGGAAUAAAUGAAAAAGAUUUCAGGAGAGAUAAUGAAAACAAUUUUGACUGAUGGGAAUAAAGGAAAAAACAAAAGCAGAGGCGGAAAGAAGCAUAGAAGCCAUGGCACACUCAAACUAGUGUGUAUGGGAAGGUUCUAGACAGGAGCUAUGCCUUCAGCUGAGGGAUGUGGCCAAGGGACUUACGUCAGUGACACAAGGAGGGAGCCGGGAAAUAAAUACCCCGGCCUCACUCGCCUCCUCCAGGGCUCCGCGUUAUCAGAAAUGAACCAGCAGCCAAAGGGUAAAGGAGUUCACUGAAGCUGUUCGUUCAAGUUGGGCUUCCGUAUACGAAACAGGGAGAGAAGGUAGAGAGUGGGUCUGCAGAGGCAAACAAAAGAUAGCAACACAAGAGAGACUGAACAUUUCUGAGUGAGAGUAGCAUUGUCCAGCUAACACUUUACAGAGAUUGAUUUGGUGGCCAUGAAAACAGGGAUUGGAAAGGGGAGAUAUUGGAGGCAAGAAGACCUUUAGGGAACUGAGGCCCAGGACAGGGCCAUGGUAGGACCAGAGGCAAGGGCUGAAUACUGGAAUCAUUGAAUGGUUUGAUGUGAGAGGCAAGAAGAGAGUUGAAGGGCCUUCUAAGACCGCGGUUUUAAAAGGAAGAUGAUGAGUUCAUGUGGGGACAUGUUGAGUAUAAAUUUCCUCGAGACAUCCAUAUGGAGAUGUCCUGAGUCAGCCCAACCCCAGGGGAACUGAUUUUGUCAUCUGGCUCUGCUGCUUUGUGAAGGAGUUCAGAAACGCACAGAUAGGCUUAGCCCAAAGAAAAAUCAUAGAUGCCUAUCUAAAUCAUCUCUCUCUUAACAAAAAAUCUCUGAAAAGCAAAAGACAUUUUAUCUGAAUUCCAUAUCUUUAAGAAUUAUUCAUUUCAUGUUAUACUGCAUUGGUUUCCAGAUGAUGAGUGCUAUACGUGAGCAGAAG